rnacentral:snRNA from 1 species
GCUGCGGCAGCACAUACUAAAAUCGGAACAAUACAGAGAAGAUUAGCAUGGCCCCUGCACAAGGAUGACUCACAAUCUGUGAAGUGCUCCAUAUUUUG